rnacentral:lncRNA from 1 species
AAGCCUCCAAAGAAGGAGCUUCCACCACACUCCAAGGCAGAGAAUUACACUGCUGAACAGCUCUUACAGUCAGGAAGGUCUUCCUUAUGUUCAGGUGGAAUCAGAGGCGGUUCAACCACCAGGCCAACUAGGCAGUUGCCUGUGGCGCCAUCGAGGCAACUCCUGUCUCCUGCGGCCUGCCUCCGCAAGAGAAAUCUAAUGAAGCCAGAAACAACCCUGAGGUUGAAGACGCCACACAUACGGAUGCUGAUAUUUGAGAGAAACUGGGUUUGGGCAGGCAGGGAGUGCUCCAUGGGGAAUAAAGCCAUUUAUACACAAGAGAGCAAGCAAUCAUUUCCUUGCAUGGAAUGAAUAAGAAAGGAAAUAAGAGAAAUGUACCCAGCUGAGUGAAUAAAAGAAGAGACCAAAAUGAAGGAUCACUUGACAGGAAAACCCUAUUUGCUGCUGGCAGAAGCCCACAAUUCACUUCUUUAUCCAGAUGCUUCAUUUUUAAAAAUCUUAAGUUCGGUGGUAAACAAAGUACUUCUUUAUUUUUAGACUGCCUUUGACUCUAUGCCAUAAAAUCUUUUCUUUUUAAAAUGUUUCUCACAAGACACUUGCCUAAGA